rnacentral:rRNA from 1 species
AGAGCGAACGCUGGCGGCAGGCCUAACACAUGCAAGUCGAGCGCCCGUAGCAAUACGGGAGCGGCAGACGGGAUAGUAACACGUGGGAACGCGCCCUUCGGUUCGGAAUAACUCAGGGAAACUUGAGCUAAUACCGGAUACGCCCUUACGGGGAAAGAUUUAUUGCCGAAUGAACGGCCCGCGUCCGAUUAGCUAGUUGGUGAGGUAAUGGCUCACCGAGGCGACGAUCGGUAGCU